rnacentral:rRNA from 1 species
UAGGGAAUCUUCCACAAUGGACGAAAGUCUGGUGGAGCAACGCCGCGUGAGUGAAGAAGGGUUUCGGCUCGUAAAACUCUGUUGUUAAAGAAGAACAUAUCUGAGAGUAACUGUUCAGGUAUUGACGGUAUUUAACCAGAAAGCCACGGCUAAAUACGUGCUAG